rnacentral:rRNA from 1 species
UACAGAGGGUGCGAGCGUUAAUCGGAAUUACUGGGCGUAAAGCGUGCGUAGACGGUUAUUUAAGUCGGAUGUGAAAGCCCCGGGCUCAACCUGGGAAUUGCAUUCGAGACUGAAUAGCUAGGGUGCGGUAGAGGGAAGCGGAAUUUCCGGUGUAGCGGUGAAAUGCGUAGAUAUCGGAAGAACAUCAGUGGCGAAAGCGGCUUCCUGGACCAGCACCGACGUUCAGGCACGAAAGCGUGGGGGAGCAAACAGGA